AAACCUUUCACAUUCUGAAUGCAUAGAGGUACCACGGUGUUUUGGGAUGCAGUCCUCCAGAGCAAAGCAGCGGCCAUUCUCCACAGGUGUCUGCGCCUGCGUGCAAGCAACCAUCUCUGUAGGGUCUGUUGACUAAGGAUGCUUCCUCAUAGAAGAAGCGGGUUGAGAAGCUCUUUCGAUGCUCACCUGAAGUUCCAGCUACUUGGCCCCAGCCAUUUGUAAGCAAAUUUGCCCUAAUUGGACGCGGCCUAGGGGGGUUCUAGAGGAUAUAGGAGGUUAUUGGAAGGGAGCUGUCUACGAAGCCGCGGGAAAGCCAAAAUCCAUGAUGGGAGUAGAAUUUCCAGUGUUCCUGUUUUGGGGUCACCCAUG
rnacentral:lncRNA from 1 species